CCCAGGACUCUCCUCACCCACCCCUUCUAUGACGGAACACUCAACAAGCCCAGGGAUGGUCAUCUUUGUGAGUGGCAGUUAGAAUCCAUGAUCAAGCAGGAUCAAGUCAAUAGAAAUAUCUGCCUUUACAAACUUCCAAACUGGGACCCUCCCUGGUUAGAGGUGGACUGACCGACAGCCACAAUCAGUAUGGGUACAUCUACAAAUGGAGGCAGACAACCUGAAAAUGGUGCUGAGAUGGUGACUGUGAAACUGGGAACCACCCUUACCAUUGUCCGCACCUCCUCCUCAUCACUACCUAUGAAAGAGGAAGAGACAGAAUCCAGCCAGGAGGUUGCUAUCCCAGAGCACUGUA